rnacentral:pre_miRNA from 1 species
CCACCGGGUCCUCUGACAGCUCCGCACCCAUCAUCACCACCGGGCUCGAGGAUCAGCCUAACCUGAAGCUGCAAAUCUCUGACAUUGAGUGGUUUUUGGGCCUCGACAAUGAGCCAGUCCAGGCCCAAGCCCAGAUCCAGGCCCAGGCUGAGCCUCUGCCUGGUGGUGAUGCUGAGUGGGAGAGCGAUUUCAUGGACCUGUGG